AGAGGGUCGGCCUCGGCGGACUGUCAUACCGUGGAUCUUUGCCCUUAGUGGAGGAUAAGUCGGGAAACUGAGAAUAUAUCCAUAGAUCUAGGAUGCUGGAAUGCACUUAGAUUGAAAGUCCGGCGCCUAAGGAUAAGUCUGCGGACUAUCAGGUUGUAGUCAGGGUAAGACUGACUAGCCUACAACGGAUACGGGUUGUGAGAGCAUACCCGGAGACAUAUCUGAGACACAUGUGGGCCUAGGGGCGCACAGCGCGAACCUUCCACUGCGCGAAGCGCGAUAGGGGAUCCCAGUGCAGCUCGUAGAGUGGCUGUUCUCUGUCUAAAAGCAAGAGAGUAGGGCUGGGUAGACGGGUGCCACCGCCGCGGUAA
rnacentral:rRNA from 1 species